rnacentral:miRNA from 1 species
AAACUCAUUGACCGGAAGGGAUUCCUUCCAGUUGAUGAGGAAGCUAUACUUCAUUGACUGGAAGGAAUCCCUUCUGGUCAAUGAGGAGGCUAAACCUCAUUGAGUGGAAGGAAUCCCUUCCGUUCAAUGAGGUU